UUGCCUUCUCAUGGAUAGGAAAUUUCGAUUAACCAUGGAAAAACGAUGCAGCACCAUCAGCAGAUUCAGCAGCCUUUGCAGAUUCAGCUAUUCUAAGUGCCAUC